rnacentral:rRNA from 1 species
AUGAACCAUGUAGAUGUAUGCUCCCGCUUUCAUGGAUUGUCCGUAGUGCUCGUUGAGCAAACUCCUAUUUUUGUUGCUGCUGCCGCUGCACUCAAGGUAGCAACAGCAAAGGCAAAGAAGGAUGGUAGGUCGAACAACAUGAAGUGGCAGUCGUUCAUGUCCACUUUCGUGCUGAACAAGAUGUGUGAGCUCAUCUCUAGUGGAGUUAGGACUGACAAGGGCUUCAAGGAGGUGCACUUGAACACCGUUGUGAAGCAGGUGUUCGAGUUCUGUGGGCAGGAGGUGUCCACCACCCGGGUGUACAACCACCUGAGGAAAGUGGAGAGGUCAAUGGAUCCAAGUGUCCAAACUGAGAGACCUUAG